CAAAAUGUUUAAAUCAUUCAAAUUAACAAUCUAUUUAGAAGUUUCCAAGUUGGCGCAAAACUUUUAGCUUUGGUCCCAAUCCCAUGAAACUCUUGGGUCAUUUCUCAUCUCAUCUAUAAUUUAGCGGCAUGGGGUCAAGCUGUAAUUUACAUUCAUUUAAAAAUUAAUCUUAAUAAUCUAAGAACAUUUGAUGACUAAAUCAUGUUAUUAUACAACUUAACAAUAUCCC
rnacentral:lncRNA from 1 species